rnacentral:rRNA from 1 species
GAUGAACGCUGGCGGCGUGCCUAAUACAUGCAAGUCGAACGCACAGCGAAAGGUGCUUGCACCUUUCAAGUGAGUGGCGAACGGGUGAGUAACACGUGGAUAACCUACCUCAAGGUUGGGGAUAACAUUUGGAAACAGAUGCUAAUACCGAAUAAAACUUCGUAUCGCAUGAUACAAGGUUAAAAGGCGCUACGGCGUCACCUAGAGAUGGAUCCGCGGUGCANAGUUAG